UUUCGAAGCCUGUUCGUCUUCUUCUUCAGGGGCGACUAUGGAGGAAAGGGCCUUUUCUCCGUAGUCGCCCCUGAAGAAGAAGCCGAACAGGCUUCGAAA
rnacentral:pre_miRNA from 1 species